rnacentral:rRNA from 1 species
AGCAGCCGCCACGGUAAUACGGAGGGGGCUAGCGUUGUUCGGAAUUACUGGGCGUGAAGCGCACGUAGGCGGCUUGGUAAGUUAGAGGUGAAAGCCCGGAGCUCAACUCCGGAAUUGCCUUUAAGACUGCCGAGCUAGUAGGUGAGAGAGGUAAGUGGAAUUCCGAGUGUAGAGGUGAAAUUCGUAGAUAUUCGGAAGAACACCAGUGGCGAAGGCGGCUUACUGGCUCAUUCUAGGCGCUGAGGUGCGAAAGCGUGGGGAGCAAACAGGAUUAGAGACCCGCGUAGUCCCUGUCUCUUAUAC